CAUUUGAACGAAACAAGCAAUGCCAAUCAUCUAAACAGCAGAAAGGCCAUGUGAUCUGGAUGGUUUUGGUUGUGUGUCCCUGGACUCUCCUGCUUCUGUGUGUCAUGGCUGUGGUCCUCUACAGCCCCUCCUUGUUUUUUAAUUACCCUCAACGGGUGGCGUGGACAGUACUCAUCCGGGCGCAGUGUCUCGUCAUGAAGGACACCGUGCUGUAGAAGUGGGAGUCAGGAUUGGCUCAGAAUCAGUCCAAAACGGUGUUCCAGUUCUCCACUCUCGGGCCUUUUACCAACAUUGUUUUUUUAGAAGCCACAUUCUCAUUUUCACCGUUCCCCUCUCUCUGCUCACUUGAUAGUGGGGUAACUAGUAACACUUACUAACUAUAAGGUGGGCAGCAGGGAAACCAGAGGGAUGAAGCAGAGCGCCUGUCUAGGCUAUGACAGAAUAACCACGAAGAGACUAUGACAAAACAGCGGUGCUCUCUUCCUUCUGUGAUGUGUCCAACAAGAGCCAGAGACCGGCUUUGCCAUCAGUUGCUUUUCCUGGCUGCAGGAAGCCCAGUCGUGUGACAUCCUCCUUUCCCCAAGUUCUGACAUGCUGAGAUUUGUGAAGGCGGCUCUCAGGAGACAACCAGUACCUUUAGGAAAAAACGACCAAAAAACAGCAAAUUUUUCAGGAAGAGAGAGAAGUUUGCAGCAAUGACAUCAACUCAACAUCAUCUGGCUACUCCUGAUUCUACAGGACUAAAACCAUUCUCAGGAGUCCUGCCCACCAGCCAGUGAGGACCAGAAUUCUUCAGGUGUGGUCCAGCUCAAGGACAUCUGACCCACCCUGACAAAGGGGCUUGCUUGCAAGGU